ACAUGCCUACAACAUAGCAUUAAUUCACUAAAUCCCAUUAGAACUCCACAAUUAAGAAUGCUUAGGCUAGAGUAGUAUUGGGAUGGCUAACCACCUGAGAAGUAAUAAUGUUUUACAUGCC
rnacentral:rRNA from 1 species